UACGGGGGGGGCAAGCGUUGUUCGGAAUUACUGGGCGUAAAGGGCUCGUAGGUGGCCAACUAAGUCAGACGUGAAAUCCCUCAGCUUAACCUGGGAACUGCGUCUGAUACUGGAUGGCUUGAGUUUGGGAGAGGGACGCGGAAUUCCAGGUGUAGCGGUGAAAUGCGUAGAUAUCUGGAGGAACACCGGUGGCGAAGGCGGCGUCCUGGACCAACACUGACACUGAUGAGCGAAAGCCAGGGGAGCAAACGGG
rnacentral:rRNA from 1 species